UAUCUAUUAAGAGAAAAAAAAUAUAAUAAUGCACGUAAAUUUCAAAUAUAUAACAAUAAUUUAGUUAAAAAAAAUAAUUUUAUAAAAUAAUAAAUUUUCGCUACAAUCUUAAAUUUACAAUUGUCCUUAACGAGUUUUCAUUUUCUGGAAGGUAUUGUGUGAUUUCUUAUAAUUAUCAAUGUUAUCAAAAACAUCUUUCUCAAUAUAUAUAUAAGCAAGGAUCAUUCAAUAACUGAUCUCCCAUUGAGUUUCCACAAUUUUCAUGGUAGAAAAUGCCUUUUCAACACUUUGAGUUGUAAGUUGUAAUAGGUAAUAUCAACAGUAAUUUUACAAGAAAGUGAAAUAAAAAAAAAUAAAAAUUUAACUUAUGAAAUUGAGUUUGUCCACUAGUUUAGUUAACAUAAAAAGGAAAGGAAAAAGAAAAUAAAAAUUAAUACCAUUAAUGAGAGAGAGAGAGAGAGA
rnacentral:misc_RNA from 1 species